rnacentral:rRNA from 1 species
AUACGGAGGGUGCGAGCGUUAUCCGGAAUCAUUGGGUUUAAAGGGUCCGUAGGCGGGUUUGUAAGUCAGUGGUGAAAGUUUUCGGCUCAACCGGAAAAUUGCCAUUGAUACUGCAAGUCUUGAAUUAUGGUGAAGUGAUUAGAAUGUGUAGUGUAGCGGUGAAAUGCAUAGAUAUUACACAGAAUACCGAUUGCGAAGGCAGAUCACUAACAAUAUAUUGACGCUAAGGGACGAAAGCGUGGGUAGCGAACAGAAUUAGAAACCCCUGUAGUCC